UUAUUUCUUGUUUUUGAUUCAGACAUCAAGACUGAUCUAAGCAUAAAGUUGGCGCCCGAAAGCGCCAAAGCACGUUUUGCUUCCACAGGUUUACAAGGUUGAAGGCCUAGGGCCAUUCGUUAAUGAUCCCUCCGCAGGUUCACCUACGGAGA
rnacentral:misc_RNA from 1 species